UACGGAGGGUGCAAGCAUUAAUCGGAUUUAUUGGGCGUAAAGAGGGCGUAGGCGGAGAUGUAAGUCAGAUGUGAAAGCCCAGGGCUCAACCCUGGAACGGCAUUUGAAACUGCACCUCUAGAGGAUAGGCGGAGAAAACGGAAUUCCACAAGUAGCGGUGAAAUGCGUAGAUAUGUGGAAGAACACCGGUGGCGAAAGCGGUUUUCUAGCUUAUUCCUGACGCUGAGGCCCGAAAGCAAGGGGAGCAAAC
rnacentral:rRNA from 1 species